GAGAGACGAAUCAUAAUUUCCAGGAAACAUUUAUUGAAAAACAUACACUAUCGAAUACAUAUCAACAUGACUAUCCGCCGAAUUGAAGCACAUGGUGAUAUGAGAUCAAUUUCUUUAUACAUGGGUGCCGAUGUAAUCGGCCACCUGAGAUUGGAGCCAGCCUUUGACAGCCGUGUCCGGAUGAGAUAUGCCCGUUUUAUCAUCUGUAGAGAACACAAACAUAUACAGGUCGCAACACCUGAAGGUUCUACUAAAGAAUCCCAUUGUGUAGAUGCUAUUUACUGGAACAAUGGCACAGCGUCAUGCCCUGUAUGCAAACGAUUGCUUAUUCGGCUCCAUGCGCGUUUGAACGAGGGUGGCAAUCGGUGUAUGUAUCUUUAACAUUCCACCUAAUCAACAUCGGUAUUCAUUGGUUGGAAAAGUUGCAUUGAUACAAUUUCCUGGAUAAAGCAAUAACACUUGACAACAGUAGAAAAACUGCUUUCUCUGUUCAGCAUAACUUGGAAUCGGUUAUGUUGGAACCUCGGAAAUACUUCCCCAAGAUGUUGGAUUAUUUUAAUAUAAAUGUUCUGUAAUUAUUUUCAAGUACCUACAUGACGUCAUUUUCAAAUCACUCUUUGUUCUUCUAGAAAAUUUCCUGCAGCCUGCAAAGAGAGGCAAACCAUCAUUGCCUGGAAAUAUUUAUUGAAAGAAAUGCAACAUGUUCAGCUAUAUCUCAACAUAAGAAUCCUCCGAAUUGAAGAACUUGGUAUUCUGAGACCAUUUUCUGAGCAUAAUGGCCGCAAUCUAAUCAGGCGACUGAGAAUGGAGCCAGCCUAUGACAGCUGUCUGCACGUCGUCAUAGGCACAAAGAAAAUGCUACUUUUCAAGAAAUCGCUUGAAAUUGAUAAGACAUUAGUUAAAAAUUUUCCAGAUAUUAAUGCGAUGUUUUGACUGAAGAGAUCAUGGCACUAAACAUCUUCAUCAAGCUUAUCUUGGAAUUCGAGAUCUUUGCAAGAGGAUUAUGAAGAUUCAAAAGAACAAGCCGGUAGUUAGUAAUGCAUGCGAUUAAUACAAAGUCUGAAGUAUGAAAGAUCCUCAGAACUAAAAAGCCCAAGUACAAUCUUCGCACGAAACAGGAGUAUGUAUGAGGAUAUGUAUAAUUUUCGACGGUCAAUACAUCUUUGAAAUGUUUGCUUACAUUUUAAGUAUUGAAACAUUGAAUUUACGCAAUUCUAGGGAAUUUUUUGAAAUAAGCAAAAACAAGAACUUCAUCCUUGAAAUCAAAAUCGGUAACGUUUAUUUUUAUUUUGAUAUGAAGAACACUACUUUUAGAAAGCAAUUUCUUAAAGUACAUAAUUCUAGUAUAUCUAAUGUUUCCGUGUGACAAGAAUCUUGACAGUCGCACUUGAACUAUUGGUCUCGAUUUUUCUCAUACUUAAUUUCUAUUAGUUGGUCUAAAGAUGCUAAAUAUUUUAUUAAAAGUUUUGGUAUUUUAGAGAACCUUCAUAAUCAUAAAAUUUGUACAACGUAUAACAUGUGUAUGUACAUUUGGUCAAUGUAUAUCAAUGAGACUCUUGACGAGAGAAACGUUUCUAU